CUGAGCCGGAUGAGGCGAAAGCUUCACGUCCGGUUCUUAAGGGGGAAGGGAGCCGCAAGGUUCCCGACCUACCUGAC
rfam:Alicyclobacillus ferrooxydans strain TC-34 contig_57, whole genome shotgun sequence.